ACUAAAAGAUGGUUAUUCUUUUAUAGCCUCAGACAACAUAAUGGUGAGCUGAAAGGUGGUGCAAAAGCUUCCUGUGCAGGAAGGCCAUGGGUUUGUGCAUGCAUCAUUCAAGGAUUUAAGGAUCAAAGUGAAGCAUGUGAGUUUGAAUCAAAAUGGAAAAGUUUUUCGCGGAAACUGCCCCGGAAAAGGAAAAAUGACGAUACGGGUAAACAUCUUCUUCUGUUGCAACACAGGCAAGUAGCUCUAAAUAGAGUCAAAGAUUCAAUCAAUUGUAGUCACCUAGAAAUUGACUGGCAAUUGAGUCCUUCCUGAUUCAUAAAUUCCAUUUUCUUUAUCUUUUUCUUUUUUUGCUUAUUGUAUUUGUAUUAUUCCUCGAUGUGUUAAGCACUAGAGGCAAUGGAAGUGAUGUAUAACUAGCCUUGAACCCAUGCAAUGCAUGAAUAAAUAUUGGAAAAAAAACUGUUAAUAGAAUUAAUAAUUAUUAUUGUAUAUCUUUGAACUAUUACAUAACAUGUAAAUUAAAUAUGGUUACAAAUUAAA